rnacentral:rRNA from 1 species
GUGGGGAAUCUUGCGCAAUGGGCGAAAGCCUGACGCAGCCAUGCCGCGUGGAUGAUGAAGGUCUUAGGAUUGUAAAAUCCUUUCACCGGUGAAGAUAAUGACUGUAGCCGGAGAAGAAGCCCCGGCUAACUUCGUGCCAGCAGCCGCGGUAAUACGAAGGGGGCUAGCGUUGCUCGGAUUUACUGGGCGUAAAGGGCGCGUAGGCGGACAGUUAAGUCAGGGGGGAAAUCCCGGGGCUCAACCUCGGAACUGCCUUUGAUACUGGGUGUCUUGAGUAUGAGAGAGGUGUGUGGAACUCCGAGUGUAGAGGUGAAAUUCGUAGAUAUUCGGAAGAACACCAGUGGCGAAGGCGACACACUGGCUCAUUACUGACGCUGAGGCGCGAAAGCGUGGGGAGCAAACAGGAUUAGAUACCCUUGUAGUCC